GUGGAUGUCCGUAGUUUCUUGCCUGUGUGUUUUUGCCCCUUGGCCCUUUGAUUUUCCCUUUUCGACUAUUGAAGUAUUUUGUUUCCGGAGAAGUCUGCGUUUGAGUCCUGCCUCCCCCACGCAUCCCUGACAGAUGGAUGGAUGAAUAUCACUUACAUCUGCCAGAGGCAAUGUUUACGUUGGAUUUACUCUCCAAAGAAAGUGUCAUCUAACUGCAUGCAUUUUAGUUUCCAUAAAGGUGACACUUUUUCAGACAUCCAGCAUCUCGAGCGUUACUACGACCAGAGAUGCUGUCAUUCAGGGUCUACCUUGUAGAGACGAUGGAUCAACUCAUAAAAGAGUGUGAUGAUGCUGGUGAAGACGCUGUUUCACAGGACCUUGCAAUACAAAAGAUGACAAUCUACAGGAACAAGUCGAACACGUCGAAGAGUCCAGACGUCGGUAUCGUGUUGGACGGAGUAAAAGUUCUGACUGCACCAAGGGACUUUCCAAGGGCUUGCUGUCUGCUGGUUAUGUUUGCGUAUGCAGUGAAUCUUGCACAUUCAAAGAAACUUAAACACAUUUAAGGUGUUCCAAGUUUUCUUGGAGCUGGACUGUUCAAACCGUUGACCCUUGGAGAAAAAAAGGGAAUUGUUGUUACUGUUAGAACUCUCCAAUGUGGUUACUGUUUGUUCAAUGCAUGUUAAUUAAAUUUUAAAGAUUCACAUUGAGAAGUUUAGGUUUGGCUCUUUCCUGGAGUUCACUUUUAGUGUUGCAAUCUAGUGUUAAUGCUGCUUUAUUUGUGUUGUUCAAAUGUAUAUAAACCAUGCUCAUUUAAUGCAGCUUUUCCUGUAUGUAUUUAUAGAAAUUUGCACAAAUAAAGUUUAACCUGCUGUA